CGAGAGAGAGAGAGACGGGGUAGAGAAAUAGAGAUACGGUGUGAUCCAAGAAUGGAUAAAGUUAAGCUAGUUUUUUCGGUGUUCUCAUGGAGGCAUUUGCUGCUUUUGUUGCUUACAUUGAGUGUGAGUUUACUCACUAGAUUUAUAUACAAGCGAGAAAUCCAACUAGACACUGAUCAUCAGAGACUUCAUCAAGAACUGUGUUUCCAGAAGGCGAUC